rnacentral:rRNA from 1 species
GACGAACGCUGGCGGCGUGCUUAACACAUGCAAGUUGAACGGAGUGGCGAACGGGUGAGGAACACGUGGGUGACCUGCCCUGCACUUCGGGAUAAGCCUGGGAAAAUGGGUCUAAUACCGGAUAGUGUGGGGUGGGCGCGCGGCCUAGCAGCUUGUUGGAGGGGUGACGGCCUAACAAGGCGGUGACGGGUAGCCGGCCUGAGAUGGUGACCGGCAACAUUGAGACUGAGGUACGGCCCAGACUCCUACUGGAGGCAGCAGUGGGGGAUAGUGCACAAUGGGCGAAAGCCUGAUGCAGCGACGCCGCGUGGGGGAUGAAGGCUUUCGGGUUGUAACCCUCUUUCGCUCUCGAACGGGUAGGUGGAGAAGAAGCGCCGGCUAACUACGUGCCAGCAGCCGCGGUAAUUC